rnacentral:lncRNA from 1 species
ACAACUGCUCUAGUGUGGAGGAGAGCCUUCUAACUGCAUGGUGCUGGAGAGAGCAGACACGGUUUUGCACAGCUGAAUCAUGACCUAUAUUACGUCACCAAGCCUUGAAUUUGAUGUAAGCCAGGGUGAAAUCUGGCUUAUCGCUUGUAUUAUAAACAAGAAUUGUGGAUGUUGACAUUGAGACAGAAACAAGACUUUAUUGGGAAUGCCAGUGGUUCAAAGAUGAAAAGGCCUCAAGAGGCUUUUUGUUAUCAAAUUCCACUUACCCUCCCCGUUGUAACUUUCAUCAGAGCUGAAGGGAUGCUGCCAAAAUCUGACUUCACUUCAGAAAGUGCCAGGAUACGCUGCUGGAGUUGCAACAGAAGAAAGACAGUUGGAAGGAGACAAACAUUCAGGUUAUGGCCUGGGAGAAGGGAAGAGGCUGGAGGAGAAAGAAAAUGGUUUUGUGUUGCUUCCCAAACCUUCUCCAAAGUUGCUAGGCAGGUGGGGGAGAUGGGGCCAGCCCCAUCUGGUCCACUUUUUCCAACAAUCUCUUUUCACAUCACUUUUCCUGCCAUGUGGGAAAAUGGGAAAAAUUCCCAACAAAUCACUGCAAAGUCUGCCCUGUGUUUCCUGGCAGCUCCCUCCUCUUCUUCAAAGUAGCCAAGAACCUACAGCCCAACAGCAGCUGAGCAGGUAGUACCAUUCUCCCUGCAUCUUGGAGGUGGACAACACUCACUUUGCUUUGCCCCAUUUUUACCCCAGUGAUUAUGUGAAGAAAUUUUCAGAACAAAGGACCAUUCUUUGCAUUUGUUUGACAAGCGUGCAGAGCAGUGAGAAUCCUCAAAUCCAUAUUCGUCCGUCGCCACAAUAAUGAGGCUAAUAAUAUCUGCAUGACCAUCAUACAAGCCAACAGAUACAGGACGGACAAGAAGGCUUUGUUACCUCCUCCUUCUUGAGUACUGAGAGCAGACCCUUCAGAAUAUCUGGUUUUCCAGGUGCAGAUGCUCACCAUUAUCUCAAAGAUCAGCUGACUUUCUGAUCUCCACUUAGGUUUUGCCCAAAAGGAGCAUCCCAGCUUACUAAUCAUUUCAGGAAAUUGUACCUUAUUGUGUUGGUUCAUCAGUUUUCCCUGAUUGUGCAAUGGAAAUAAAACUGCUUACUCCACCAUGAUUUCUCAAAAAUACUUUCAGUGUCUCCAGCAAAAGCUAUUUGUGUACAAAGCAUUAUUAAUAUUGUGAAAUGAUGAAA